AUACGGGGGGUGCAAGCGUUAAUCGGAAUUACUGGGCGUAAAGCGCGCGUAGGCGGUUUGCUCAGUCGGAUGUGAAAGCCCAGGGCUCAACCUUGGAACUGCAUACGAUACUGGCAAACUAGAGUGUGAGAGAGGAUAGUGGAAUUUCCGGUGUAGCGGUGAAAUGCGUAGAUAUCGGAAGGAACAUCAGUGGCGAAGGCGACUGUCUGGCUCAACACUGACGCUGAGGUGCGAAAGCGUGGGUAGCAAACAGGAUUAGAGACCCUAGUAGUCC
rnacentral:rRNA from 1 species